UACGUAGGGGGCUAGCGUUGUCCGGAAUCAUUGGGCGUAAAGCGCGCGUAGGCGGCCAGAUAAGUCCGGUGUGAAAGUCACAGGCUCAACCUGUGAAUGCCGCUGGAAACUGUCUGGCUAGAGUCCGGAAGGGGCGAGUGGAAUUCCUGGUGUAGCGGUGAAAUGCGCAGAUAUCAGGAGGAACACCAAUUGCGAAGGCAGCUCGCUGGGACGCUACUGACGCUGAGACGCGAAUAC
rnacentral:rRNA from 1 species